rnacentral:lncRNA from 1 species
AUAAUCUGAAUCAAUAAAUGCACUGAAAGCAAGAUAUAUUAGAAAAAAACUAGUGCUAACACCCACCUUAACACACUCUUUAUAAGGUGAAUCCUUUUUACAAUGAACUGAUAUUAGAUUAGUCCUACCACAUGUUAAGCAUCUUCAACGCAACAACUAAUUUAUUGAGUGAGAUUCGUAUACCAAAAACAGAUAGCCACAAAAGCAAAUUUACCCAAUAGCACCCCCUUAGUAAUGUAAAAUUCACUUCUAUUCUUCAACAUUCACCAACUCGUACUCAACCAAGGAUAAAUUAUUUUCUUCAUUGACCACAAAAUUUGCAGGCUCAGCAGGAUUUACCCAAUAGCACCCCCUUAGUAAUUUAAAAUUCACUUCUAUUCUUCAACAUUCACCAACUCGUACUCAACCAAGGAUAAAUUGUUUUCUUCAUUGACCACAAAAGUCGCAGGCUCAGCAGCCACCUCAACACGACCCCAUUUAUCAACAGCUAGCCUCAUAGACCCCUUAAACAUGUCAAUCUUAGC